rnacentral:rRNA from 1 species
UACGUAGGGUGCAAGCGUUAAUCGGAAUUACUGGGCGUAAAGCGUGCGCAGGCGGCUCUGCAAGACAGAUGUGAAAUCCCCGGGCUUAACCUGGGAACUGCAUUUGUGACUGCAUUGCUGGAGUGCGGCAGAGGGGGAUGGAAUUCCGCGUGUAGCAGUGAAAUGCGUAGAUAUGCGGAGGAACACCGAUGGCGAAGGCAAUCCCCUGGGCCUGCACUGACGCUCAUGCACGAAAGCGUGGGGAGCAAACAGG